UACGAAGGGGGCUAGCGUUGCUCGGAAUUACUGGGCGUAAAGCGCACGUAGGCGGCUUUCUAAGUCAGAGGUGAAAUCCUGGAGCUCAACUCCAGAACUGCCUUUGAUACUGAGGAUCUUGAGUACGGGAGAGGUGAGUGGAACUGCGAGUGUAGAGGUGAAAUUCGUAGAUAUUCGCAAGAACACCAGUGGCGAAGGCGGCUCACUGGCCCGUUACUGACGCUGAGGCACGAAAGCGUGGGGAGCAAACAGG
rnacentral:rRNA from 1 species